rnacentral:tRNA from 1 species
GUUGCGGAAGCUCAACCGGAUGAGCACCGGCUUGCGAAGCCGGAGGGUGAAGGUUCGAUCCCUUCCCGCAACG